rnacentral:rRNA from 1 species
AUACGUAGGGGGCGAGCGUUGUCCGGAAUCACUGGGCGUAAAGCGCACGUAGGCGGGCUGUUAAGUCGGCCGUGAAAGGCACUGGCUCAACCGGUGUUUGUCGGUCGAUACUGGCAGUCUUGAGUGUGGUAGAGGCAAGUGGAAUUUCUAGUGUAGCGGUUAAAUGCGUAGAUAUUAGAAGGAACACCAGUGGCGAAGGCGGCUUGCUGGGCCAUUACUGACGCUGAGACACGAAAGCGUGGGGAGC